rnacentral:lncRNA from 1 species
GACGAAUCCCAAUUCUGGAAACAAAUAACGAUCCCAAGACCUGUUUGAUUUUAUUCCCAUGAGAAAGACCACUCAUGGAAAUCGGUUCUUCCGGGGUAAAUGUGAAAACUUGUGAGCUUCCGGGGUAAACUCAUAUUGAUCCAAGAUUAAGCACUACUCAUGCAUGAUUGAUCUUUUUGCUCCUGCUGGUUGCCUACAUGAAGCGAAGAAUCUCGUAUAUCGAGAAUAUGCCUUUUGAGGCAGACACCAGCCUGUGCAUGUGGUCAUCUGUGUUGAGGGCUCUGUGGCUCAUGAAAAUAAGGAUCGAAAAGAUAGAUGAACGAAUCAUUAAGCUUGAUUCUCAGGAGCUUCAGUGCAUAUUUGCAACUAUCAGACAUUUUUUGCUGCCUCUAGGGUUGGGAAAGCUCAGGAAAUGGAAUGCAGCUUGCUGUAAACAAGGGAAAUCAUCAGGAAUUUCAAGGUUAAUUGUAUAUUGCUAGUUUGAUUGCAAGUGGGAAAGACGAGAUUUAUAGAAUUACAAUUAUUUUUAAAAAAUUCUGGGAAUUUAAACCAAACCCUUCUGGACCAGCAUCAAUUAGGAUUUUUCAGCUGAAGUACUUAAAUGGAG